rnacentral:rRNA from 1 species
CCUACGGGGGGCAGCAGUGAGGAAUAUUGGUCAAUGGGCGAGAGCCUGAACCAGCCAAGUCGCGUGAAGGAUGAAGGAUCUAUGGUUUGUAAACUUCUUUUAUAGGGGAAUAAAGUGAGGAACGUGUGCCUUGUUGUAUGUACCAUAUGAAUAAGCAUCGGCUAACUCCGUGCCAGCAGCCGCGGUAAUACGGAGGAUGCGAGCGUUAUCCGGAUUUAUUGGGUUUAAAGGGUGCGUAGGUGGUUAAUUAAGUCAGCGGUGAAAGUUGUUGGCUCAACCAGAAAAUUGCCGUUGAAACGGGUUGCCUUUAGUAUAUUUUCGGUCGGCGGCAUGCGUGGUGUAGCGGU